CUCUGUCUGUCUGUCUGUCUGUCUGUCUCUAAUCCCACACACACACACACACACACACACACACACACACACACGCACAUACACAGCGGCUCACAGACUUCGCGAGAACCAGGAAGCUCUCAUGGGAUUGGAAUAGAGUUGGAGAAAUACUGAGACACAGCGAUGCAGUGAGUAGUGUCGUCACUUCACAGCUCCAGGGUGGAUCUGGGAAUGGAAUACACACUGGAUGUGGCACUCCAUCUCACCUGUGAAACUCCACAUGGACCACAUGGAAACACUAUUCUUUAAAAAGCAAAUCCUGGAGGUUCUUCAGCUGUUUUUGUGGUGGACCUUCUCCACUGGCAGUGUGUCAGUACAUUCAGCAUGACAGAUGGGCUACAGUCGGUAAUUCUACACCUUCAUAAUCACCUGUGUGAAGGUGGAGCUGAUAGACUGCGCACCCAGUGAACUUUCAUGACGUUAAUAUUAAAGGGAAUAAAAAGUACAAGACAACAUGAGUUCAGAAAGAAUUAUUGCCUAUUUAUAUGAAUAGUAAUUAUAUUUGUAUUAUUAUUUACAUUAUAUUACACUUUGGUGAAUAGAAAUAUUUUUUUAUUUCUGUGUUUUCAACAUAAGCUCAUGAGGAGUCAUAUUCAUCCCACGCAUUUAUAUCGGAGUCAUGGUGUGUGUCUCCAUCAAGUGGUCUUUAGCUGCAGUGUUUUAAUCUGAGUCUGUAUUAUUAUUAUUAUUAUUAUUAUUAUUAUUAUUAUUAUUAUUAUUAUUAUUAUUGCAUCAUAGGUGUGAGAGGAGACACGGUUGUGUCUCAUUGCUAAUGAUGUUUAACCUUAGUGCAGCUUUAAACACCACUGAUCCUUGAUGAUAGACUAGACUAGUUCUAGACUAGUUCUUGAUGAUAGACUAGAACAUUGUAUUAUAUUCUUAUUGGAUUAUUGUAUUGGAUGUUUCAGUAGGAGCAGAAACAAACUCCAGUUUGUCUACAAAGCAGCAGAGUCCUAACUAGAACCAGAAGUUAUGAACACAUUACCCCUAUCUUAUCCAAACGUCAUUGUUCAUUUCUCCUUGAUUAUAAAAUGCUACUAUUGAUGUAUAACACACUGAAUGGCCUUGUGCUGCAGUACAAUGUAUAUCUUAAACCACUAGAUGUUCUAUUUAAUAAUCUGUGUAGAUUAAUUUUAAAGUGCCCAUAUAGAACUCAUCAUUGCCAAUUAUGUUAUCAGCUUAACUGGUUGCUGCCUGAUAAAAGACAACAGUAUCACUGGCUUCAAUUUAUUUUUAAAUGCAUCUAUUUGAACUUACCACCAUAUUUGAAAAGAUUUUUUUGUACAAUAUACUCCAACUUAUUUUCUUCGACACUCUCAAUGUCUGACUUUUAUUGUUCCUGUUAUGUGCAAAGUAGUUGGUCGGAGGUCCUUCUGUUUUAAUGCUCCUUCAGACUGGAAUAAUCUGCCUCCAUCUGUGAGACUUUAGGCUCCUUUAGAACAUCUUUGUUAACCUAUUUGAAAACUGAUUGUAAAUGCAUUUAAUUGUAAUGGUUCCUUGAAAUAUCUUGUUCUUGAAAACUGAUUGUCAGUUUUUGUAAUUGCUAUGGUUCCUGAAACAACUGUCCUUGUAAACAUUUGUAUACCUUGGAGAUUCUGAAAUGGCCCUGGGAGAGGAGGGGGAUCUGUGAGCAGAAUUGUGUUGUAAUGUUUUGUUUGUUUUGUAUUGUAUUGAAUGCACUGUAUCUAUUGUAUGUUUUUGGUCCCCCUUGAAAACGAGAUGCUGCAUCUCAAGAGGCUUUCCAUGAAUAAAUAAAAAUGUAGUUGAGUGACAUGAGGGAACUCCUAUACAGAAGGAAUAUGCAAAGGCCUGGGCUCUAGCAACUCUGCUACUUUCUCUCACUCUUAUUACAGCUGUAACACAAAUAAGUAGAUGGCAGUAACAACACAAAGGUGAGAAUCAUCAUGACCUUCAGACUGACCUGUCUCCUCAACCUCUGCAGCUGAUGCUCAAACGUGCCCCUGAGGCCACAAACCCCCAUCGCCUGACAUUGGACAGGGAGACAUCCAGCCUGUUGCUGACUUCCCCUCUGACAGACGAGCUAAUCUGCCACCAUCAUCUGCACCUCCGGCCUUUGGACCACCUCCAAUGUGAACAGCUGUAAUGUAUGACACACUGAGACAAACUCUGUUUCUUCAUCCAGUGGCUGCACUGAAUUGAGUUUUAUCCAGUGGCUGCACUGCAUUGAGCAACACUAGGUUUCAUAUUUAAACUUUAGUUUAAAGCACCACAAGUAACAGUGAACUCAGAUGAGACAGAUUAAUGUGGAUGUAGAUGAUGAUGACGAUGAUGAAGAUUGUUCUAUAAAUUAUUUUUCCAUCAGUACAUGAAGUUAUAAAUGUAAACCAUCCAGUAAAUAACAGCUUCGUGGUCAAUGAGUAGUCAGAUAUGAUGAGAAUGUUUUUAAGACUGAAACGCGUAUGAGAGAGUAAAAGGACUUGCAGCACAUUGAUUCUAAACUGUUUUUAUUCUUUUUAACAUCACCUUAUGCACCAUAAUUCACUUUACAUUAAAUCACCUCCCCCAAGACCCUAAUGUCACCCCAAACUUCCCCCAGUACCCAAAACCCCAAACCCCACCCCCCUUUGGCACCACCACAGCAGCCCAUGUCCCCACACUCACCCCAACAGAAAAAUAAAACCUAUUUGGUCCAUAAGUGCACACUCUAUAGGCAGCAUGGUUUAGAAAAGAGAAUGCUAACAUCCAGCCUGUGUGUGUGUGUGUGUGUGUGUGUGUGUGUGGGUGUGUGUGUGUGUGUGUGUGUGUGUGUGUUGAUCAUACAGAUGGAAAUGAACGACACAGUCAGAACACUCAUCAACGUUGCAUUAUUUUGUCUCCACUAUGACCAUGUCCAC